rnacentral:rRNA from 1 species
CAUGCAGUCGAGCGAGGCGGCCCGCAAGGGCCAGUCGAGCGGCGAACGGGUGAGUAACACGUGGAUUAUCUGCCCUAAGGUGGGGGAUAACCCGGGGAAACUCGGGCUAAUACCGCAUGAUACCGAAAGGUCAAAGGGGGGUCGCAAGAUCUCUCGCCAUUGGAGGAGUCCGCGUCCGAUUAGCUAGUUGGUAGGGUAAUGGCCUACCAAGGCGACGAUCGGUAGCCGGCCUGAGAGGGUGAUCGGCCACACUGGAACUGAGACACGGUCCAGACUCCUACGGGAGGCAGCAGUGGGGAAUUUUGCGCAAUGGGCUAACGCCUGACGCAGCAACGCCGCGUGGAGGAUGAAGGUCUUUGGAUUGUAAACUCCUGUCAGCAGGGAAAAAGCGACUCGUGCUCAUACCACGGGGAGUUGAUUGUACCUGCAGAGGAAGCCCCGGCUAACUCUGUGCCAGCAGCCGCGGUAAUACAGAGGGGGCAAGCGUUAUUCGGAAUUAUUGGGCGUAAAGGGCGCGUAGGCGGCCUUGCAAGUGGAUGGUGAAAUCCCUCGGCUUAACCGAGGAACUGCCAUCCAGACUGCUUGGCUUGAGACCGGGAGAGGUGAGUGGAAUUCCCAGUGUAGCGGUGAAAUGCGUAGAUAUUGGGAGGAACACCAGUGGCGAAGGCGGCUCACUGGACCGGUACUGACGCUG